rnacentral:tRNA from 1 species
GCGCCGGUGGGAUAAUGGCGUAGAGCAUUCCCGCCCUGUCAGAGGGAGGUGCGGGUUCGAGUCCCGCCUGGCGCU